rnacentral:rRNA from 1 species
UACGAAGGGGGCUAGCGUUGCUCGGAAUCACUGGGCGUAAAGCGCACGUAGGCGGAUUGUUAAGUCAGGGGUGAAAUCCUGGAGCUCAACUCCAGAACUGCCUUUGAUACUGAAGAUCUUGAGUUCGGGAGAGGUGAGUGGAACUGCGAGUGUAGAGGUGAAAUUCGUAGAUAUUCGCAAGAACACCAGUGGCGAAGGCGGCUCACUGGCCCGAUACUGACGCUGAGGCACGAAAGCGUGGGGAGCAAACAGG